AACGAACGCUGGCGGCAUGCCUAACACAUGCAAGUCGAACGAGACCUUCGGGUCUAGUGGCGCACGGGUGCGUAACGCGUGGGAACCUGCCCUUAGGUUCGGAAUAACUCCCCGAAAGGGGUGCUAUUACCGGAUAAUGUCUUCGGACCAAAGAUUUAUCGCCUUUGGAUGGGCCCGCGUUGGAUUAGCUAGUUGGUAGGGUAAAAGCCUACCAAGGCGACGAUCCAUAGCUGGUCUGAGAGGAUGAUCAGCCACACUGGGACUGAGACACGGCCCAGACUCCUACGGGAGGCAGCAGUGGGGAAUAUUGGACAAUGGGCGAAAGCCUGAUCCAGCAAUGCCGCGUGAGUGAUGAAGGCCUUAGGGUUGUAAAGCUCUUUUACCCGGGAUGAUAAUGACAGUACCGGGAGAAUAAGCUCCGGCUAACUCCGUG
rnacentral:rRNA from 1 species